AUUGAACGCUGGCGGAAUGCUUUACACAUGCAAGUCGAACGGCAGCACGGGGCAACCUGGUGGCGAGUGGCGAACGGGUGAGUAAUACAUCGGAACGUGCCCAAUCGUGGGGGAUAACGUAGCGAAAGUUACGCUAAUACCGCAUACGAUCUACGGAUGAAAGCGGGGGAUCGCAAGACCUCGCGCGAAUGGAGCGGCCGAUGUCAGAUUAGGUAGUUGGUGGGGUAAAGGCUCACCAAGCCAACGAUCUGUAGCUGGUCUGAGAGGACGACCAGCCACACUGGGACUGAGACACGGCCCAGACUCCUACGGGAGGCAGCAGUGGGGGAUUUUGGACAAUGGGCGCAAGCCUGAUCCAGCCAUUCCGCGUGCAGGAUGAAGGCCUUCGGGUUGUAAACUGCUUUUGUACGGAACGAAACGGCUCUCUCUAAUACAGGGGGCUAAUGACGGUACCGUAAGAAUAAGCACCGGCUAACUACGUGCCAGCCGCCGCCGUAAAAC
rnacentral:rRNA from 1 species